rnacentral:tRNA from 1 species
GGGCCGGUGGUCUAGCUGGUUAUGACGCAGCCCUUACAAGGCUGAGGUCGGGAGUUCGAAUCUCCCCUGGCCCA